rnacentral:rRNA from 1 species
GACGAACGCUGGCGGCGUGCUUAACACAUGCAAGUCGAACGGAAAGGCCCUGCUUUUGUGGGGUGCUCGAGUGGCGAACGGGUGAGUAACACGUGAGUAACCUGCCCUUGACUUUGGGAUAACUUCAGGAAACUGGGGCUAAUACCGGAUAGGAGCUCCUGCUGCAUGGUGGGGGCUGGAAAGUUUCGGCGGGUGGGGAUGGACUCGCGGCUUAUCAGCUUGUUGGUGGGGUAGUGGCUUACCAAGGCUUUGACGGGUAGCCGGCCUGAGAGGGUGACCGGCCACAUUGGGACUGAGAUACGGCCCAGACUCCUACGGGAGGCAGCAGUGGGGAAUAUUGCACAAUGGGCGGAAGCCUGAUGCAGCAACGCCGCGUGCGGGAUGACGGCCUUCGGGUUGUAAACCGCUUUCGCCUGUGACGAAGCGUGAGUGACGGUAAUGGGUAAAGAAGCACCGGCUAACUACGUG